rnacentral:rRNA from 1 species
GAUUUCUGGUCUGAUGCGCCUAGCCCGCCACGGUUACGUGUGUGAGUGCCGGGUCGUGUCUACCAUCCUUCUAGAAAACGGUAGCUAUGCUUCUCUCUGCAUCUUCAUUGAUGUGGGGAGGGGUGUGUUACAUAACGCGAUCUAGAUCUUUUACUUUGAAAAAAUUAGAGUGUUUAAAGCAGGCAAUAAUUGCUAUGAAUACAUUAGCAUGGAAUAAUAAUUUAGGACUAUUGGUUCUAUUUUGUUGGUUUCUAGGACUGAAGUAAUGAUUGAUAGGGAUAGUUGGGGGUGCUAGUAUUCAGUGGCCAGAGGUGAAAUUCUCGGAUUCACUGAAGACUAACUUAUGCGAAAGCAUU